ACCCCGAACAGGGGAGUGAAAUAGAACCUGAAACCAUACGCUUACAACCGGUCGGAGCGGCUUCGUGCCGUGACGGCGUGCCUAUUGAAUAAUGAGCCUACGAGUUACUAAUCACUGGCGAGGUUAAGUGCUAGGAAGCACGGAGCCGAAGCGAAAGCGAGUCUGAACAGGGCGGCUAGUCAGUGGUUGUAGACGCGAAACCUUGCGAUCUACCCUUGAGCAGGAUGAAGGUUGGGUAACACCAACUGGAGGUCCGAACGAAUAAGCGUUGAAAAGCUUCUCGAUGACUUGAGGGUAGGGGUGAAAGGCUAAUCAAGCUGGGAAAUAGCUCGUACUCCCCGAAAUGCCUUUAGGGGCAGCGUUGUAAUAAAGAGUCUACUGGAGGUAGAGCUACUGAUUGGAUGCGGGGGCUUCACCGCCUACCAAAUCCUGACAAACUCCGAAUGCCAGUAGUAUGAUUUACAGCAGUGAGCGGCCGGGUGCUAAUGUCCGGUCACAAAAGAGGAACAACUCAGACCAGCAACUAAGGUCCCCAAGAAUAUGCUAAGUUGAUCUAACGAUGUUUUGUUGCAGAGACAGCUAGGAUGUUAGCUUGGAAGCAGCUAUUCAUUCAAAGAGUGCGUAACAGCUCACUAGUCGAGCGACAGAGCGUGGAUAAUAAACGGGCAUCAAGCAUAUCACCGAAGUUCUGGACGCGAAAGCGUGGUAGGGGAGCAUUCCAUCGACGUUGAAGCCGAUUCGUGAGGAUUGGUGGAGUUUAUGGAAAAGCAAAUGUAGGCAUAAGUAACGAUAAUGCGGGAGAGUAACCCGCACACCGCAAGACCAAGGUUUCCUGAUCAACGCUAAUCGGAUCAGGGUUAGUCGGGUCCUAAGGGUAAGCCGAACGGUGAUCUCGAUGGACAAUCGGUUAAUAUUCCGAUACUAACAUACACCUCGAUGGAGAGACGAAGGAACGUAAGUGUCGCCGCCUGACGGAAUAGGUGGUUAAAGGGCGUAGGUAAAGGAGCAGAUUAAGAGUUAGCUCCUGCUGAAACCCGACAGUACGGAGCGGCUACGGCCAAUCCGAUAGUGCACCCAAGUAGACUUCCGAGAAAAUCUUCUAAGUUAUAGUGUAUGUUACCCGUACCGUAAACCGACACAGGUGGUCGAGGAGAGUAUCCUAAGGUGCUCGAGUGAAUCACGGUUAAGGAACUAGGCAAAUUAACCCCGUAACUUCGGGAAAAGGGGUCCCUAUGAAAGUAGGGCGCAGCGAAAAGGUCCAGGCGACUGUUUAUCAAAAACACAGGGCUCUGCAAAUUCGAAAGAAGACGUAUAGGGCCUGACACCUGCCCGGUGCUGGAAGGUUAAGAGGAGAUGUCAUCGCAAGAGAAGCAUUGAAUUGAAGCCCCAGUAAACGGCGGCCGUAACUAUAACGGUCCUAAGGUAGCGAAAUUCCUUGUCGGGU
rnacentral:rRNA from 1 species